rnacentral:rRNA from 1 species
GAUGAACGCUGGCGGCGUGCCUAAUACAUGCAAGUAGAACGCUGAAGGAAGGAGCUUGCUCUUUCCGGAUGAGUUGCGAACGGGUGAGUAACGCGUAGGUAACCUGCCUGGUAGCGGGGGAUAACUAUUGGAAACGAUAGCUAAUACCGCAUAACAGUAGAUGUUGCAUGACAACUAUUUGAAAGGGGCAAUUGCUCCACUACCAGAUGGACCUGCGUUGUAUUAGCUAGUUGGUGAGGUAACGGCUCACCAAGGCGACGAUUCAUAGCCGACCUGAGAGGGUGAUCGGCCACACUGGGACUGAGACACGGCCCAGACUCCUACGGGAGGCAGCAGUAGGGAAUCUUCGGCAAUGGACGGAAGUCUGACCGAGCAACGCCGCGUGAGUGAAGAAAGUUUUCGGAUCGUAAAGCUCUGUUGUAAGAGAAGAACGAGUGUGAGAGUGGAAAGUUCACACUGUGACGGUAUCUUACCAGAAAGGGACGGCUAACUACGUG